CGUAAUAGCUCACUGGUCUAAUGACUCUGCGCCGAAAAUGUAACGGGGCUAAGCAUGGUACCGAAGCUUUGGCAAUCUCCUUUGGAGAUUGGGUAGGGGAGCGUUCGCUGCGGGCUGAAGGUGUAUCGGAAGGUAUGCUGGACUGCAGUGAAGUGAUUAUGCUGACAUGAGUAACGAUAAAAUAUGUGAAAAACAUAUUCGCCGAAAACCCGAGGUUUCCUGGGUAAAGGUAAUCUUCCCAGGGUUAGUCGGAUCCUAAGGUGAGGGUGAAAGCCGUAACCGAUGGAAAACAGGUUAAUAUUCCUGUACUUGUUGUGUAGCGCGAUGGAGGGACGCAGGAAGAUAGGCGGGCCGGGUGUUGGAUAUCCCGGUGCAAGCGUGUAGGAAUAUCCGGUAGGCAAAUCCGCCGGACGAAUCUGAGACGCGAGUCCGUGGGCGCAAGCCCUGAAGCCGUUGAGUCUAUGCUGCCUAGAAAAGCUCCUAAGUUUAUCCACAGCAAUCCGUACCGCAAACCAACUCAGGUGGGUGGGAUGAACAAUCCAAGGCGCUCGAGAGAACUCUGGCCAAGGAACUCGGCAAAAUAACCCCGUAACUUCGGAAGAAGGGGUGCUCUCUAGGGUGACAUGUUUAACAUAUGAAGCCCCGGGGAGCCGCAGUGAAUUGGUGGUGGCGACUGUUUACUAAAAACAUAGGUCUGUGCGAAGUCCUAAAGACGACGUAUACGGACUGACGCCUGCCCGGUGCUGGAAGGUUAAAAGGAGGGGUCAGCGCAAGCAAAGCUCCGAAUUGAAGCCCCAGUAAACGGCGGCCGUAACUAUAACGGUCCUAAGGUAGCGAAAUUCCUUGUCGGGUAAGUUCCGACCUGCACGAAUGGCGUAACGAUCUCCACACUGUCUCGGCCAGAGACUCGGUGAAAUUGAAGUCGCGGUGAAAAUGCCGUGUACCCGCAGAAAGACGGGAAGACCCUGUGCACCUUUACUAUAGCUUGACAUUGGAUUUUGGCCCUACAUGUGUAGGAUAGGUGGGAGGCUGUGAACCCUGUACGCCAGUAUGGGGGGAGCCAUCCUUGAAAUACCACCCUUGCAUGUUUAAGAUCCUAACUUCUUCCGGUUAUCCCGGAGAAAGACAGUGUCUGGCGGGUAGUUUGACUGGGGCGGUCGCCUCCUAAAGUGUAACGGAGGCAUGCAAAGGUUCCCUCAGCCUGAUCGGAAACCAGGCGCUGAGUGCAAACGCAUAAGGGAGCUUGACUGUAAGAGAGACAUCUCGAACAGGAACGAAAGUUGGCGUUAGUGAUCCGGUGGUCCCGAAUGGAAGGGCCAUCGCUCAUUGGAUAAAAGGUACGCCGGGGAUAACAGGCUGAUCGCAUCCAAGAGUUCACAUCGACGAUGCGGUUUGGCACCUCGAUGUCGGCUCAUCACAUCCUGGGGCUGAAGCAGGUCCCAAGGGUACGGCUGUUCGCCGUUUAAAGUGGUACGCGAGCUGGGUUUAAAACGUCGUGAGACAGUUUGGUCCCUAUCUUCUGUGGGCGAAGGAGAAUUGAGAGGGCCUGUCCCUAGUACGAGAGGACCGGGAUGGACGCACCCCUGGUGAUCCUGUUGUCGCGCCAGCGGCAUAGCAGGGUAGCUAUGUGCGGAAGGGAUAACCGCUGAAAGCAUCUAAGCGGGAAGCCUGCCUCAAGAUAAGUUCUCCCCUCGAAAGAGCUGAAGGGCCCGGGUAGACUACCCGGUCGAUAGGCUGGAGGUGUAAGCGCGGCGACGUGCUCAGCUGACCAGUACUAAUAGCCCGAGCGGCUUAUUU
rnacentral:rRNA from 1 species